UUAAAGAUUAGUGAGCAUUGCAUUCAGAUUCAACUGAAUUUGUAAAACAGACGAUACAACAAAAUGAAACUGGUUGUGAUUGUACUGUUGUGCUCAGUGGCAGCGUGUGUUUAUGGGGAAAAUUGUACAGUGAACGCCGACUGCUUAAACGCUCAGUUUGCAUGUGGCGUUAAUUAUCACAAUAUUUGUGAACACAAUGACCAGAUCGGAGUUAUUACCGGAGGCGGACUGUGCACGUGUGCUGUCAACGAUUUAUAUUGCACAAGCAAUGUUAGGUGUGCCAGGGCUCAUCAGCUAAACGCUUGCCCAAAGAAACGAAGGCGCUGUUAUGACGGCAAAUGCAUUUGUAGUAGACGAGUGCUGGUGUAAAUCAAAUUAUUUGUUCAGUUGACCAAGAAUAUUGAUAAAAAUA